rnacentral:rRNA from 1 species
UACGUAGGGGGGCUAGCGUUGUCCGGAUUUAUUGGGCGUAAAGAGCGUGUAGGCGGCCAGGUAGGUCUGGUGUGAAAACUCGAGGCUUAACCUCGAGAUGUCAUCGGAAACCAUCUGGCUAGAGUCCGGAAGAGGAGAGUGGAAUUCCUGGUGUAGCGGUGAAAUGCGCAGAUAUCAGGAGGAACACCGAUGGCGAAGGCAGGUCUCUGGGCAUUAACUGACGCUGAGGAGCGAAAGCAUGGGGAGCGAACAGG